CCCUUGAAGACGACGAGGUAGAUAGGUUGGAGGUGGAAGUGCAGCAAUGCAUGGAGCUGACCAAUACUAAUCGGUCGAGGGCUUAUCCUAAAA
rnacentral:rRNA from 1 species